rnacentral:tRNA from 1 species
GCAAUGGUGGUUCAGUAGUACAAUUCUCACUUUCCAAGGGAGAGACCUGGGUUCCAUUCCCAGCCACUGCA